rnacentral:rRNA from 1 species
UGGGGAAUAUUGCACAAUGGGCGCAAGCCUGAUGCAGCCAUGCCGCGUGUGUGAAGAAGGCCUUCGGGUUGUAAAGCACUUUCAGCGGGGAGGAAGGCGGUGAGGUUAAUAACCUUGGCAAUUGACGUUACCGACAGAAGAAGCACCGGCUAACUCCGUGCCAGCAGCCGCGGUAAUACGGAGGGUGCAAGCGUUAAUCGGAAUUACUGGGCGUAAAGCGCACGCAGGCGGUUGAUUGAGUCAGAUGUGAAAUCCCCGGGCUUAACCCGGGAAUUGCAUCUGAUACUGGUCAGCUAGAGUCUUGUAGAGGGGGGUAGAAUUCCAUGUGUAGCGGUGAAAUGCGUAGAGAUGUGGAGGAAUACCGGUGGCGAAGGCGGCCCCCUGGACAAAGACUGACGCUCAGGUGCGAAAGCGUGGGGAGCAAACAGG